rnacentral:rRNA from 1 species
AACAAUACAAGGCAGUUAAAAKGCUUUGUAAUUGGRAWUGGAUAGAAAUUUAAACACUUUUUAAAGUAUCAAUUGGGAGGGCAAGUCUGGKUGGCCAGCAGCCGCGGUAAUUCCAGCUCCAAUAGCGUAUAUUAAAAUUGUUGCAGUUAAAAAGCUCGUAGUUGAAUUUCUGCUAAAAAUAACCGGUCUGCUUUUAAUAAAGGUGGUAUCUUGGUGUGUUUUUAGCAAUAAUGUCCUUUGAAAUGUUUUUUACUUCAUUGUAAUAAAUUAUAUUCUAGGAUUUUUACUUUGAGAAAAUUAGAGUGUUUCUAGCAGGCUAAUGCUUUGAAUACUGCAGCAUGGAAUAAUAAAAUAGGAUUU